UUUCGCAAUGCCCGAAAGGGUGACGAAGCGACGCCGCGUGUGGGAAGAAGGCCUUCGGGUUGUAAACCACUGUCGGGAGUUAAGAAAUGCAAGGAUAUGAAUAGUAUCUUUGCUUGACUAAGGCUCCGGAGGAAGCCACGGCUAACUCUGUGCCAGCAGCCGCGGUAAUACAGAGGCGGCAAGCGUUGUUCGGAAUUAUUGGGCGUAAAGAGCACGUAGGCGGCUAUGUGAGUCGGUUGUGAAAGCCUUCCGCUCAACGGGAGAACAGCAUCCGAUACUGCAUGGCUUGAGUGCGGGAGGGGAGAGUGGAACUUCUGGUGGAGCGGUGAAAUGCGUAGAUAUCAGAAGGAACGCCGGCGGCGAAAGCGGCUCUCUGGCCCAUAACUGACGCUGAGUGUGCGAAAGCUAGGGGAGCAAACGGGAUUAGAUACCCCGGUAGUCCUAGCCGUAAACGAUGGGCACUAAGUAGAGGGGUUUU
rnacentral:rRNA from 1 species